GGCUUCAAACAUGUUUUUGAGAAGCUGACCCUUCUUUCGCAUUGCUAUAUCUGGAAAGGUCAGCUUCGAUAAAACCAGUUUGAAACGCCAAUUUUGCAUCUGUGACAUUGGCAGGCAAGUUUGUUUGCUGAUACCAGAGCUUGCCUAAAUGUCCGAAUAGAGGCCAUGUUUAGCCGAAUUAAUCUAUUGGAAGAUAUCGUUUCUUGUGGCGAGAAAACGAUUCAAAACCAAUGCAAACAUAUCAAAUGAUGGGGGCUGUUUUUGGAGAUUCGCCGUCCCCGUGCCUUGCCAUUCACACGGUUCUACAAAGUGAAACAGAUGCAGAGUGUUCUGAGGGAACUCGACAACGUAUACGGUCACAAUUUUAUGUUGAUUGACGAUUUGGAUAGUUUCACGACUCAAAAAAACCGCCAUCGAAGAAGCUCAAGAAGUGAAGAGAGUUCUUGCUGACGGUAACUUCAACCUCACCGGUUGGGUUUCGAAUUAUUCAUAGGAAAGACCAACCCUGCUGACUUAGCAUCACGUGGACUCAUCAGUACCCAAGACAUUCCGUCAUUGUGGUUCAAGGGUCCGGAUUUUCUGUGUCUUUCCGAUAACCAGUGGACCCGCGACUCCUUGACACUACCAUUCGAACAAGACGAUCAGGAACUACGUUGAUAACGUUGAGACUCUCCAUGAACUUAUUCUCGAAGCCCAACUCGGAAGUGUUUCGAGAGGAGUUCAACGCACUGCAAUCUAACAAGGCCGUCUCCAAAUCCUCGAGGUUGGAUCAACUCUCGCCUUUUCUCGAUACUUUUGGAAUCAUCCGUGCUACAGAUCGGAUUGGGUUGGCAGAGAUGGGUUACGAUCAAAAGCAUCCUAUCAUUCUGUGCCCUAAAUCUCCGCUCACGAUCCUGAUUGGAUUGUGGAGCAAAGUCAUGUCGAACAUCAUCAUCCUGGCGUCAAUCAUCUGGUUGGCAUGCUACGCCAAACAUAAUUGGAUUCUCCGAGGUUGAGAAUUGGUUAAAAAAAUUCGAUUGGGCUGCCGAAAAUGCCAAAUUCAAGUUGCUCGACCAACAAAGCAGGAGAACCACCGUUCUUCCACAGGUCCGUCGAUUUCUUCGGUCCUUUGGAAGUACUGGUUCUUCGGAAUAAGAUCGAAAAUCGGUGGGGUUGCAUUUUCACGUGCAUGACCACUUGGGCCGAACACCUGGAGAUAGCACCCUCCUUAUCAUCUCAGGAUUUUCUGAACGUUUGUGAACACCCGCGGUCAACCUCAAAGUAUGUAUUCGGACAACGGAACAAAUUUCGUGGGUGCCAACAAUUUGUUCAUGUUCAAUUCGAAUCAUUUUUUGAUAUUUCGUGGUUCGAAGGAAAUUCCCUUGGGUGUAUAUUCGGUAUUGGACACUCGUCUAAAUUUUCAGUAUGUUCAGGCGCUCGUGGAUAAAAUUUGGACUCGUUGGACAUCUGAAUAUCUUCAAACUUGAUUAUCAAGAAAAAAGUGGACCACUCGGGAGGAAAUGUCAACGUUGGAGCCGAAGUUUUGGUUGUUGGGACUUCCGAACCUCGAUCAAAUUGGAAGAUUGGACGGAUCGUUGAAGUACAUCCAAACAAAAAUGGAUUGGUUCUAGCUGUCACCGUCCAGAGUGGCCAAGAACGUCUGAAUCGUUCUACUACUAAAAUUUGCCCGUUGGGAAAAGUCUCCAUUCCAUUUAUAUAAUUUUAAUACAUCUGUUUUAUUUUGGGUUAGGCUAGCAAUGGGGGGAGAAUGUUCCGACGAUAUUUCCCAUCUAAUUCCAUUGCUACGAUUGUUGAUUGCUCGCUCAGCCUAAUACCAUUUUCUGGCUUUUUGGGCAUGUGGGAAUAGAACUGCUUUUUUCUCCUUCUUCGAUAUUACAUGUGCGGUUGACCAGUGCGAAGAACGGGGAGUCAUAUGUGCCUGUUGCCAACUGAUAUCAGAAAUAUACUUAGUGAAUUAAAAAUCCUCGAAUGUGUAAAGGUCUUAAAACAAAGAACAAGCGGAACACGCCUCGUCCGCUCCCACGAACCGUGGAAUCUUGGACGGAGACAAAUUGCUUUUCAUACGGAUCUGAUUGGUGAAGGCUGUUGUCAUUGGAGGCCAUGUGCGUCUUGUUUGAUACCUCGCGAACAAAUAACGGGCCUUGGGCUUUCAGAUG